AGUUAGCCUCUCUCUUCUCCUCUCCACCAGAGGCCCAGACAUGGACUUUAGACCCAGGGCCCCCUGGCCCCAGGAUGACGGAUGACGGGGCCACUCUCUCCUGGGCCCUGUUUCCUCACCCUCCCCCUCCAUCCCCCAGGUCCCCGUCAAGGUGGAUGCCUUCCCCCCAUGGGGGGCCAGUGAGCGCCCAGCACUCAGCCUGAGCGGGUGGCCCCAUGACCUGUGCCCGCACACCGCAGUUUCAGGCUUGGCUGCAGGGAUGCGUGGGUGGUGGUGCUGGGUCGUGCACGCUUCCCUAACCUCCCGGCUCCUAGGCACCAUGGGUGUGUCCAGGGGAGACGUUUUCCUGGCAACUCCAGUCCUGAGAACGUGAGAAGAAGGUGCUGGCAGGUGCUGACGAUUCGGCCUCCGGGCCAUGCUCUGCGACACAGUGGGUCACCUGGAUCGGGUCAGACCCAGAGCCGCCAGCUCCCCACCUGGGUCGGCCUUCCCACUGCAGGCGUGGCGGCGCCGGCUUCCUCCUCCCGCAGCUCCCGAGGCUCCCGCGCACAGAGAGGGUCGUCCUGCCUCCUGGCAGCAGGUCCCUGCUGUCCGGUCAGUGCGGCCCUGGGCCAGGGCCUCCUCUUCUCCGUCCCUCGUUGACAGGUGUUCACCGAAUCUCUACGUGGCAGCGCUGUGGGCUCCAGACCUGCCAGCCCCGUGUGCGAAGCCCAGCUCUGCGACCCGGGAUGGGCUUCUGUCGAAGCCUCAGUUCCUGAUCUGUGAAGUGGAAGGGUGAUAAUAGCCGUGUUACCAGGCUGUUGUCAGGAUUAAAACAGCACGUGGCCUGAAACUUCGAAGCCUGCUGGUGGUGGGACCACGUGGCUGUCGUCAUGGUGAUGUGGGAGUGGAGAAGCCCCACCUGUCACAGGACCGUGAUGCACACACACGCAGGCCACAGGGUGGCACUUGGCUACUGUCCGGCUGGAAGCUCCAGUACUGCGAGCAAGGAAGGGACCACGUGGGUUCGUCACCUAUCCAAGUUAUAAGCGCUGCUAACACUCGGAUGACUUCCUUUCCAAGCUACUGGCUAUGCAGUCAUCAUGUGGCAAUGGCAAAAUUGGGUGACUUUUUUUAAGAAACAAUCUUCGCUCCUGAUUGUAAGAGUGCACAUAUUCACUGCAGAAUAUUACAGAAAAUGACAACGUAAAGCAGGAAAACUUAUCGAGAUUCUCCUUCGUGCCCACAUUCUUCCUGCACACGCAUGCACGUGCACACACACGCACGCACACACCAUACACGGCACCUCCUUGCAACCACGAAACAAAUUCAACGUUACCACGCCUUAAGGAGAAUGGACUAUGUUAUGAAACAUUUUGUUGGAAGACAGGACCGGGAAUGCCACCGUGAGAAAUGUGCCAGCACUCCUGUCCGACGCGCCUCUGCCGGUCACCGGCAGCGGCCUCCAUAGCGCGGGGCAGUGAAGCCACGGGCCUGGCUCGAGCCCCACGUUCUGCUACUUCCUGGCCGUAGGGCCUCGGAUGGUUACUUAACCUCUCUGCGCCUCACUUUCCCUCACCUGUAAAGUGAGGAUCAUAAUAGUACCCGCCGCGCCGAGCUGUUUGUCCUUGAUUGCUUAGAACGGCGUCCGGCACAGAACGGGAGUUAGCGAAUAGCAUUCCCAUUUAGCCUCCCGAAUGCUCUGCUCUGCAGCAAUGCAACCACCACCUGGUUUUGCAGCUGUCACUCAGCAAAACAAAGGCCACGUGGGUGGGAAAUUUACCGCUACCAGGGGCGGUGUCCGCCUGUGUGCGCAUGCGCCACCAUCAAAGCAAACUUCCCGGGCCCGUGCAUAUGCCCCUGGAGGGGAUCUCUGCAUCCUGGGGAAUAAGCUUCAUGUUCGUCUCGUCUUCUCACUCCUCCUCUCCUGAGCUGUGUGUGUGCGUGUACUGCAUUGUCAGGGCCACACUGCUUAUGCUCUUUUUAAGGAAUAAUUGACAUAAAAGGAUAUCCACACACUUUAGGUGGAAGAUGAUACAGAGACUAAUAAUAUUUGC